AGUGAACGCUGGCGGUAGGCCUAACACAUGCAAGUCGAACGGCAGCACAGUAAGAGCUUGCUCUUACGGGUGGCGAGUGGCGGACGGGUGCGGAAUACAUCGGAAUCUACUUUUUCGUGGGGGAUAACGUAGGGAAACUUACGCUAAUACCGCAUACGACCUACGGGUGAAAGCAGGGGAUCUUCGGACCUUGCGCGAUCGAAUGAGCCGAUGUCGGAUUAGCUAGUUGGCGGGGUAAAGGCCCACCAAGGCGACGAUCCGUAGCUGGUCUGAGAGGAUGAUCAGCCACACUGGAACUGAGACACGGUCCAGACUCCUACGGGAGGCAGCAGUGGGGAAUAUUGGACAAUGGGCGCAAGCCUGAUCCAGCUAUACCGCGUGGGUGAAGAAGGCCUUCGGGUUGUAAAGCCCUUUUGUUGGGAAAGAAAAGCAGCAGGUUAAUACCCCGCUGUUCUGACGGUACCCAAAGAAUAAGCACCGGCUAACUUCGUG
rnacentral:rRNA from 1 species